rnacentral:rRNA from 1 species
ACGUUAGCGGCGGACGGGUGAGUAACACGUGGGUAACCUACCUAUAAGACUGGGAUAACUUCGGGAAACCGGAGCUAAUACCGGAUAAUAUUUCGAACCGCAUGGUUCGAUAGUGAAAGGUGGUUUUGCUAUCACUUAUAGAUGGACCCGCGCCGUAUUAGCUAGUUGGUAAGGUAACGGCUUACCAAGGCGACGAUACGUAGCCGACCUGAGAGGGUGAUCGGCCACACUGGAACUGAGACACAGUCCAGACUCCUACGGGAGGCAGCAGCU